GAUGGUAAUUGGGCAAGGUGCAAAGUUUGCAAAACUAGUACCGUGACCCAUACCCAUCAGGUACCGGGUUCGUAUGGUAUAGUAGCAUAUUGAUACAUGGUAUGCACACCGGUGCUAAUCAUGUAUUGCUUCACCUAAUCUAGGUUUUGCCCUAGAUUUAAAGAGAGCGGUUGGGAAGGAGAGAGGGAAGAAAGGGGGUUUGGCUUCUUAUGAGAGGCUAUUGGUGCUGGAGAUGAUGGUAGCAGUGGCUUUGAUGGAGGAGCCCGUGGCCGCCGUAGGUGUUGGCGAGGUCUUGCAUGGCGUGAGAGAGAGAGAGAAAGAGAGGCAAGGAGAUUCGCGGAGUAGAGGUCAUUGGCAGGGUCCACCCAUGGUGGUGAGAGCGAGCGAUUGAGAGAGAGAAGUUAGGAAUCAUGGAUUAAAUGGAGAAUUGGAAGGGUUUUUAUAAACCCUAAUUGGUUGGACCAAGCGAACCGAGUGAACUACUUGUAAUCAAGUGGAAUUGGGCAGUUCUGCUUGAUUUGAAGCGAUUCAGGCUGGUUCACAUUGAGUCUCAAAUUGAACUUGCAAGCUAACCUGAUUUUGCACCAGUUCGAAUCUGUAUGCCCUAAACCAAGUGGCUCGGGUUAGUCUGGGAAACAUUGGCAUUUUGGAUUAGUUGCUUGGAUAGGAGGACAAAGAGCGAGAUGAGUAGAGGGGAAAGGGGAGAGGGGGCCGAUGUGAAGGGAUUUUGUGGGGAGGAUUGGAGGAAAGGAGAGUGAGGAGGAUGAGGCAAGGAAAACAGAGUUCAAAGAGAUGGGCACUUGAAUUAAGGAGAGCUUUUUUUAUAAUAUGGCCUAGGUUAUAUGCUUCUUUUUAAAUUAUUUUUAGAUUAUUUAUCAAUAUUUUUGUCAUUGAUGUACCAAGAUUCAUGCCAUGCUACAUUUUCAGAUUUGUAUUUCUCCUUAAAGACGAUUCUACCUUGGAGAUACUAGUCUUCAUACACAUUAAUACAAUAAAUUCAUUAACUCUAUUACCAAAUCUGACCUAUUAUAUUUUUUAUUUUUUAGCAUAAGUUAAAUUUGUAAGUGGCCAUGGUUCAACAUAUGUAAGUGCCUCAGCCA
rnacentral:lncRNA from 1 species